GGCUUUUUGUUUAUGAUUUAAAGUCUAGCCUGCCCAAUGAAUAUUUAAUGGCCGCAGUAUUUUGACUGUGCAAAGGUAGCAUAAUCAUUAGUUUCUUAAUUAGGAACUGGUAUGAAUGGUUGGAUGAGAAAAAAUCUGUCUUUAUUUAAUUUUUUAUGAACUUUAUUUUUGAGUUAAAAAGCUCAAAUUUUUUUUAAAGACGAGAAGACCCUAUAGAGUUUAAUAUUUUUAUAGUUAUUAUUUUUAGGUAUUUAAAUUUAAUAUAUUUGAUAAAAUAUUUUGUUGGGGUGACCGAAAAAUUUAAGUAACUUUUUUUUAUUUUAACAUUAAUUUAUGAUUUUUUGAUCCAGUGUUUUUGAUUAUAAGAUUAAAUUACCUUAGGGAUAACAGCGUAAUUUUUUUGGAGAGUUCUAAUCGAUAAUAAAGUUUGCGACCUCGAUGUUGGAUUAAAAUUUAUAGUUGGUGUAGAAGCUAAUUAAUUAGGUCUGUUCGACCUUUAAAAUUUU
rnacentral:rRNA from 1 species